rnacentral:rRNA from 1 species
UACGUAGGUGGCGAACGUUGUCCGGAUUUACUGGGCGUAAAGCGCGCGCAGGCGGACCGAUAAGUCAGAGGUGAAAUCUCCCGGCUCAACUGGGAGGGGCCCUUUGAUACUGUCGGUCUUGAGAUGCCUAGAGGAGAGUGGAAUUCCCGGUGUAGCGGUGAAAUGCGCAGAUAUCGGGAGGAACACCAAUGGCGAAGGCAGCUCGCUGGGACGGUACUGACGCUGAGACGCGAAAGCGUGGGGAGCGAACAGG